UACAGAGGUCCCAAGCGUUGUUCGGAUUCACUGGGCGUAAAGGGUGCGUAGGUGGUGGGGUAAGUCUCGUGUGAAAGCUCGCAGCUUAACUCCGAAAUGGCACGGGAUACUAUUCUGCUGGAGGGCUGGAGGGGGGACUGGAAUACUUGGUGUAGCAGUGAAAUGCGUAGAUAUCAAGAGGAACACCAGUGGCGAAGGCGAGUCCCUGGACAACACCUGACACUGAGGCACGAAAGCCAGGGGAGCAAAC
rnacentral:rRNA from 1 species